AAACACCAUAGAAGUUGGCGGACUCGAGGCGCAGAGCGGCUACAUGCAAAUUACGGAUGCGCUGAGCCAAUCGGCGGCCGCGCGGAGGCAGCGAUGAGUUAAAGCGGUACUUUUCAUAGGAGGUGUGGAAGAAAUGUGAGAAAGAGGUGUCUUAGAUGAGAGGAGACGACUGGACUAUGUGGAUCAAGGGAGAAGAGUUGAGUUGUGUGUUCUAGAAUACAAAAGUGACUUUGUUGUACAGUUUCAUCGGCCUGAUGAUUCUCUGCUGGAAAUCAGUGGAUGACUCAAAGCAAAGACAAAAGGCAGCCAAGUGUCAGACAGCAAAAGACAACACCGUUUUUCUUUCUUCAUGACAGCUGGGAUGAACAUUUGCAAGAUACGGAUCCAAAUGUUUCUUUUAAGGAUUGUGGCCUGAGGCCACCGCCGUGUCAGUCACCCACAUGUUAACUCUGGCAACAAACCAAGUAUUGAAUUCUUGCAGAAACGCCGAAAAGAUCGUUAGAAAAAAAGAAAAGCUUAUGUGUACAUACAUACUAUGGAGCACUUCUGGCUGCACUUUUGUCGAGAGAAUGAUUCUCAAUGGGCCCCAUGAAUCUCAGCCUGAGUGUUGGCUGAUACAAGAAGGUGAACAUGUAACACAAUGAGAUCUACUGCUGCACAGCUGCCUCCCAGCAGAGAAUGCAUUACAGUGCUCACGUGCGUUUGUAUGCUUGCAAACUCAGUCAGCUCAGUGGUAUUUGUUUUCUAUUAUCUAGAAGAGCAUUUGAGUGAGCAAACCCAGAAGGUGGGUUUGAGGACGGACCGGGCUGCAAGCUUCCAACCUGCGUAGUACAGAAGGACUCUCAGCAACUGGCCCAAGAGGAAACUGAAGAUGACUUGGUCCUGUGCUGUAGUAACAACACUUCACUGCUUUGGAAAAACAAUAAAAAGAAGAAAGAAAAAAGAAAGCAUUGAGAGUUCCAACACCAUAAAAAGAUAAGAAACAGAAUGUAUUUUGAGUGAAAGUGGAAAAGUCUUGUGUUACGCAACACAGUCAUGCAGAAAUCUCCAAAACAGGUGUGUUCAUAACAGCAUGGCACUGAGCAUGGAUUAAUUCAUUACAGCUGAGAUACUCCUAGGUUCUGAUUGGAAUAGUUUGUGGGUACAUCUUCUCACAGAUGUUCCAGCUCAGAUAUGUUACUGCCUCAGGCCUGCACUUGUACCAUUGGUUCUUGUGGUUUGGCUGAACUGGAGCAAGAGGAACAGAAAGACACAAGGAUUGUUUGCAAAGAAAAACAUAUAGAGGGGGAAAGUAGAAGCAGUUAAACAAAUAAAGAGGUAUUGAAGAGAAGGAAAAUCAAUGAGUCAUAAGUGAACAUGGACGAACUUUCAGAGGAAGUGAUGCAUGCAUGUAGAUGGAUAUUGGAUAUUACAUAGAGGGUAUUUCAAUGCUGGCAUUUGAUUUGAAAGAACAACCAGGCAGGUCCACUUUCUCUCCCUACUAAUUUACAUGAGAUUACUAACUCUCCUCUAAUUUGUAUUAGGACAUUUCAAAGCUCUGCGUGAUUUCCAAAGGCAAUUUGUGCCAAUGGGAAGGUAUACACACAGCAUAUGAAUGAGUACAAGGGAACUUGAUCAAAAUUCCAGUCUCAUGUAUUUUUUCUGAACACUUGCUGCACUCCUUUCAGAUCUGGAAAAUUGCAGGCUGACAUAUCUCUGGAUUUUUUAUGUUGUGCUUCUUUUCUCCUAAGAUCUACGCCCUACUGGUUCUGGGAAACUUGUGACCUCUGCAUUUUUAAUUAGAACUUGUAACAUUUUCCAUAGCAACAUAUUUUGAUGUCGCAAAUACAGAACCUGUCAAAUCAAACAAUUUCAAAGUGCAAAGCUACGGCCUUCUGGUCAAUUGAAGUCCAAGUACAUGAAAACACUGAGAUGCAAGGAAGACUGAAAAUUAUUUGUUGGUUAACUCAUAGCUUUGAUCUUCAUAAUUAAUAAAUCAGUACAGAUAUAAAAGAAUUACAUUGCAUGCUGGAGUGGUUUAGAUGAACUCAGUACUAAUUUCAUCGCACGUGAGAGCAGAUAGAAUCCAUCUGUCUGACUGGUGUGCCAGUACUAACAUGGUACAAAGGAGAGGAUCUAUUUCUAGGAAAUAGUCGAGAUGUGGAACAAACUUCACUCACAUGAUGAGCUGUGUGAGCAGGAAGUGAAGAAAACAGAAAUCCUCUGAAACGAGGCCUGAGCUCAGAUUUCAACAGACCCACAAUAUGAGCAGGAAUAAUAAUAAUGGGUUAAGAAAAGCAGUGUAACUUAGCACUUAAAUAUGUAUAUUAAAAAUAAGUCAUUUAUUUAUGAUACAUGCCCUGCAAGUGCCAAAUAAUACUUCUGUCAAGUCUGAAGAACAUAAACUGAGAAUUUUUGUCAUUCAGAUAUACUUAUCUUUCCUUUUCCUGCUUUAAGCUAAGACUAAUGGCCAAGGAAGUCAUAUUUUCCUGCCAUUACUAAGACUGCACAAGGUAAUUUGCCCCUCUGCAAGGACAUCCACGUGUAACUGUUAGUCACACCAGCAGCCACGAGAUAUGGAUAUGAUCAUCAAGUCUUAUUAAAACAAAUGCUGAAUACCAUGAACCUUUCAGGAGGAAAAGGCAAGUGUCAAUGUGGAAUGCGGUAAGAACUUUCUUGUUUCUGGUAGCAUUGGGUAUGUGACUGCUAUCCCUUUUCUUAUUCCAUCUAUUUCCACUUUU
rnacentral:lncRNA from 7 species